UACGUAGGGUGCAAGCGUUAAUCGGAAUUACUGGGCGUAAAGCGUGCGCAGGCGGUUUUAUAAGUCUGAUGUGAAAGCCCCGGGCUCGAACCUGGGAAGUGCAUUGGAUACUGUAAGACUUGAAUACGGGAGAGGGGCAGUGGAAUUCCGUAGUGUAGGAGUGAAAUCCGUAGAUAUUAGGAGGAACACCGGUGGCGAAGGCGGCUGCCUGGA
rnacentral:rRNA from 1 species